rnacentral:rRNA from 1 species
UACGUAGGGUGCGAGCGUUAAUCGGAAUUACUGGGCGUAAAGCGUGCGCAGGCGGUUUGUUGUGUCGGCGGUGAAAGCCCCGGGCUCAACCUGGGAAUGGCCGUUGAAACUGGCGAACUGGAGUGUGGCAGAGGGGGGUGGAAUUCCGCGUGUAGCAGUGAAAUGCGUAGAGAUGCGGAGGAACACCGAUGGCGAAGGCAGCCCCCUGGGCUGACACUGACGCUCAGGCACGAAAGCGUGGGGAGCAAACAGG